ensembl:lincRNA
AGACAGUCCUAACUGAACUCAAAGUUAGGGCAAUCCUAUCUCUGUCUUUCAAGUGCUGGGAUUACAGGCUUGUGUUGUUACGCCUGGACACAUUUUUUAUUACAUAACUUGCCUAAUAGUAAGAGUAAUAUUUAAAGUGUAUCCAAAAGUGGGUGUGUAGAGUUAAUUGGGCUAUCAUUAGACCUCUAAAAAGUAGUACUUAUAAAUUAGAAUGAUUUAUGUAGGGAACUAUUAAAAGUUCCCUUUUGUUGUUCUUUGGGGAUUUGUUUGUUUGUGACAGGGUCCUACCAUGUAGCCCGUGCUGGCCUAAAACUCAGAGAUCUGCCUCCCUCUGCUUCCCCAGUGUUGGGAAUUAAGAAUGCCAGCCUCCUGUUAAUAUGGUGUAGCUCAGGUUGACCUUGACCUGACUGUAGUUAAGAGUGACCAUGAGCUCCUGCUCCUCCUGCUUCCCGUUUCAGUCUCUUAUGCUGGCCUUAAGGUUCAUUGGAAGGGUUUCUUAAAACAAUUGAAAGCAUACUGAGCUAUAUCCCUCUGCCUUUUCUGAUAUCUUAUGGGGAUCUUACUAGAGCACAGCAAUAAAACGCUUUGGGUAUAGUUGUUAUAUUGAAUCAGAUAGCAAAUCCUUGGGUUAUCACCCCAAUGAAGAUAAAAGUUCUAGUAAAUUUACUCUUUGUAUGAAGUUAGGAAAUUGUAAUGAUUGCUAUCUUUACCCAAACUAGUAAGUUCACUUUUGGGAAGAUUAAUAAUUAUAUUUCCUUAUUUCUCAGAUCGUCUUAUUAGGCAUAGAGCCUGUGCUUUAAGGGACACCGCCUAUGCAAUAAUUAAAGAAGAGCUUGAUGAAGACUUUGAGCAGCUUUGUGAAGAGAUCCAGGAGUCUAGGAAGAAACGAGGUUGUAGUUCCUCCAAAUAUGCACCAUCUUAUUACCAUGUCAUGCCAAAGCAGAAUUCUCCUCCUGCUGGUGAUAAAAGGUCAGCUCAAGAGCCCAGUGAAAAGCUGAAGGCACCGUGUCCUCCUGUGGCUUGCAGUACCCCUGGUAAGUAGUCUGCAGUAAUCUUCAUUUGUGGAGUUCUUCUGUCCUCUCCCCAUGUCCUGUGUCUUGCACUUUGCUUUAUUAACACAGUAAAUUGCAUCUGUUUCGAUGAUAGUCAAGCAACUAAGCUGUUAAAUAACCAGGUCCUUCUCUUUCCCAUAUACGUUUUGGUGAAUACAGUUAGUUGAGCAGCAGAGCCUUGGCAUUGUGCUGAAGUUCUGUCUCUUUUUAUCACCCAAACACUCCGCUGUCUUCCUAGUCCUAUUAAACGUAUUCCCGUAAUAGUCUGUGUCCUCCCAUUACAAUUUCUGCUAAGUUUCACCUCUUCCCAAGAUAAAUGAAGCAUGGUUUUACUGUAUCCCCCUAGACAGAAUCUUCAAGUUUUCUUUGUACUCUAGUUUCCUCCACUGUAAAGUGAAGGUGCCAAUGGUAGCAAACCUCAUCUGUUUAAAGGUGGAAUUCCAAUGAAUUAGUAUGCGUGCCAUGCUUAAAAAUAUGGGCAGCAUAUCUUAACAGUAUGAGGGUAGAUGAUUUUAACUCUUGCCUUUCCGUUAUUCAGUGUAUAUCACAUAUUGUUCCUCAGCUGUUUGUUUAGUUGGUUUUUUUGAGACAGGGUUUCUCUGUGUA